UACGGGAGGCAGCAGUGGGGAAUAUUGCACAAUGGGCGCAAGCCUGAUGCAGCCAUACCGCGUGUAUGAAGAAGGCCUUCGGGUUGUAAAGUACUUUCAGUCGUGAGGAAGGUGUUAAGGUUAAUAACCUUAGCAAUUGACGUUAGCGACAGAAGAAGCACCGGCUAACUCCGUGCCAGCAGCCGCGGUAAUACGGAGGGUGCGAGCGUUAAUCGGAAUUACUGGGCGUAAAGGGCACGCAGGCGGUUAAUUAAGUUGGAUGUGAAAUCCCCGGGCUUAACCUGGGAAUGGCAUUCAAGACUGGUUAGCUAGAGUCUUGUAGAGGGGGUAGAAUUCCAUGUGUAGCGGUGAAAUGCGUAGAGAUGUGGAGGAAUACCGGUGGCGAAGGCGGCCCCUGGACAAAGACUGACGCUCAUGUGCGAAAGCGUGGGGAGCAAACAGGGAUUAGAUACC
rnacentral:rRNA from 1 species